GAUCAUGGCUCAGGACGAACGCUGGCGGCGUGCCUAAUACAUGCAAGUAGAACGCUGAAGAGAGGAGCUUGCUCUUCUUGGAUGAGUUGCGAACGGGUGAGUAACGCGUAGGUAACCUGCCUUGUAGCGGGGGAUAACUAUUGGAAACGAUAGCUAAUACCGCAUAACAAUGGGUGACUCAUGUCAUUUAUUUUGAAAAGGGGCGAAAUAGCUCCACUACAAGAUGGACCUGCGUUG
rnacentral:rRNA from 1 species